AUCCAGCUGAUGAAUCCCAACUGGGGCGAAACGCGUGUUCUGGAU
rfam:Schistosoma margrebowiei strain Zambia genome assembly, scaffold: SMRZ_contig0000325